GUCAGUCUGCUGUGAUAAACUUGACCAGCGAGAGCAUUGAUCUAGGAUACGCUUUAUCUUGGAAGUUACAGAAACUUCCAAAGAGCAGCCAGGGGACCGAGGAGCCCCGAGCUGGGCUCUCCGUUGCGCCUGGUAUACACAGUGCUGCCUCCGCUUCUCGGAGUUUAUGAUGUUUAUGAAGAUCCCCAACAGCUGGCUUCAAACCCAGCCCCUCCGAGAACCGUUUCCAGGACUCUGAAGCCCGCAUUUCAGCUUCAGGAACGGCGAGACAGCUGGCUGUCCGUGUCGGUUUGGGUGGAAUCGGUGUAGAGGUGGUGGUACCCAAACCAGCUCAGUGCCGGUGAUUGCCAAGCAGCAUCUUUUGAAGGCACACUGUGUGCAUCGCCAUCAAGCGCUGAGCAACAGCAAGCUGCGGAUGCUCGUCGGCGAGAGCUGGAGGAGGAUCAGCCCUAAGUUGUAAUCUCAGGGUGGACAUUGACAUCAUCCUCUUGGAUGGGAGCAGGUAGAGGAGAUGCCUGCUUUCAUUCCUCUUGGACAAUGCUUAGGGGUGCAACUGCUGGCCAUAUGGUAAGUUUACUUUAACUUUUUAAGAUCUCAUCAAAUUGCUUUCCAAUGGGGUUGUACCAUUCUAUAUUUCGCCAGUAAUGUAUGAGCAUUCCAGUGUUUCCACAUCCUUGCCAGCACUUGUUAUUAUCUGUCUUUUAGAUUCCAACCGUCCUACUGGGUAUGAAAUGGUAUCUUGUUAUGAUUUAUAUUUCCUAAUGAGUAAUGAUGUUGAACAUUUUCUCAUGUGCUUAUUGGUCAUUUGUUUGUUUUCUUUGGAUGAAUGUCUAUUCAAAUACUUGCCCAUUUUUUUAAGUUGGGUUGUUCGUCUAGUUACUACUGAGUUGUAAACUUUUCUACAUUCCUGAUCGAGAUGCCUUAUCAGAUACAUGAUUUACAAUUUUCUCCCAUUAUGUGCAUGUCUUCUCACUUUUUGGAUGGUGUCUUUUGACUUAGAAAAGUUUUAAAUUUAAAUUUAAAAUUUUACUGAUUUUUAACAAUUUACAUUUAAAAAUUUUGAAUUUAAAUUUUACUGAUGAAGUUUAAACUUUACAAUUUUACUAAUUUUUCUUCUUUCAUUGCUUGUGAUUUUGUGUUGUAGCUAAGAAAUCAUUGCCCUGCCAAAGAUCAUGAAGAUUUUUCUGUGGUGAUUUUCUUUCCUUUGUAGUUUUAGAUCUGACACUUUGGUCUUUGCUCAGUUUUGAGUCUGUAUUUGUGAAUGGUGUGGGGUAAGUGUUCAAAUUAAUCUUUCUGGAGGUGCCUAUUUCAGUGUACCAGUAACAUUUGCUGAGAGAAUUUAUUCCUUAUUGACUUUUCUUGGUAAUUUUGUUGAAAAUAGGUUGACUGCAAAUGUAGGGGUUUGUUUUUGGGCCCUCAAUUCCAUUGAGUUAUAUGUCUCUUCUUAUGCCAGGACCUCACUGACCACAGAGUUUAUAUGGUUUGUCCAAGGUCACAGAGCCAGUAAAUGACGCCAGCCGACUAGUCCCUUUAAUGACACAUGCUAUGGUUAUAAAGAAAAUCAGACAAAUAUGCUAGACUGAUACUGGUUAAGUGUGUUUAAAUGACGUUUUGGAGACUGAUGAUCCCACUCUGAUCUGAAUGUGCACAAGCCGUCUGGAGCAACUAACUUUUUGAGAAGCAGUGGAAGGCCCUAAGAGCAGGAUAUUUGUUUCUCUUAUUAAAGAAGAGUGGGAGUUUGCCAAUACCUGGCAGGGGCAAGGAGAGGUCCAGCGUUUCACGGGAGAGGAGCUGCACAGACAAGGGCAGAGAGAUGCAGAAAUCACCAUCACCUUCAAAGAGCAGUGAGAAGUCCUGAGCAAAGCUGUGCAGGGUUGGAUGGGCGAGGAGUGGGCAGCUGUGCUCUAGAGGCUGAGUGGAGCCAGGAGCCAGGCUCUCAAGGGCCCAGACCAAGAUUUCAGAACCAGAGCACCAUUUUCGAGCGCGAUCCGUUUCGACUGAACAGCACUGUCCCAAGACAGUGGCCAGGAGACUAAUCUGGCAACAGCAGGGAAGGAGGUAGGAGGCGGGGGCAAGGUGACUCUAAUUUGUUACUUUGACUACAAGUGAACUGGAGGCAAUAGAAUGUUCCUGUUUUGGGGACAUGAUGAAGCAGAUUGUGUACAGGACUUAGAGGUGGGCCCAGUGCGCUUCCUUUCCUAACUUCACUGAGCACUGGAUGUGUAUCUGGACUAAUUGCAUUCUCUCCCUGAAGGUGGUUUUUUGGAACAGUGAUAAAGUACCUGGCUCUUAGGAGAGGCUCAGUGUAAGGUAGCUGUAUGACAUUAUCUUCAAAUACCUCCUGUUUACCUGGAUUGAAAAUAUGUGAGGUGUGUGUGCACAUGUGUUUGUUUUAAUAGUUUUAUUGGACUGUAAUUUCAGCAUCAUAAAAUUCACCCAUUAUAAGUGUUCAGUUUAAUUAUUUUAGUAAAUUUAUAGAGUUGGGCAACCAUCAGCGCAAUCCACUUUUAGAACAUUUCCAUUACGCUAAGAAGUUCACUCGUGUCUGUUUGCAGGUAACUUCUGCCUCCACUUCUAGCCAUAAGCAGCCAUGAUCUAUUUGCUAUCUGUACAAAUUUGCCUUUCAUAGACAUUUCUUACAGAUGGAAUGGGUAAUCAUUCUAGACAUUUUAUGUAAAUAAUAUGUACAGUCUUUUGCAUCUGGCUUCUUAAACUUAGCUUAAUAUUAUUAAGGUUCUUAACCUGUCUAUAAUCAUCAUAGAUUGUUGCUUUUCGCUGCCGAGUGGUAUUCCAUCUUGUGGAUAGAUGACAUUUUAUAAAUGCAUUCCCCAGUUGAUGGGCAUUUGCACAUAAAGUGUUUUUUUUUUUUUUACACAACGUGGUGGGUUUGCUACUUGAUUGAAACUAUCAGAACUUUCAGAUUAACUAAGACUUAUUUUCCUUUGAUUAAAUAUUUUGUAGAAAGUGAAUAACCAUGCAGCAAAGACCAUAUCAAUGAUAUAAAGGGGGGAGUUUGUUGUAUAUUGUAUCUAGCAAUCUUUUUGUCUGUCCGUCUAUCUCUAUCUAUCUAUCUAUCUAUCCAUCUAUCUAUCUAUCUAUCAUCAAUAUAGCUAUCAAAAAAUCAUCAGUGUCUAUUUUAGCCUUGAAGAGCAAAGGAGGAGGGAGUUUCCAUUGUGGCUCAGUGGUUAUGAACCUGACUAGUAUCCAUGAUCAUGUAGGUUUGAUCCCUGGCCUUGAUCAGUAGGUUAAGGAUCCGGCAUUGCUGUGGUUGUGGUGUAGGCUGGCAGCUACAGCUCUGAUUCGACCCCUAGCCUAGGAACUUCCGUAUGCUGCUGGUACGGCCCUAAAAAAAGACAAAAAAAAAAAAAAAAAAAAAAAAA
rnacentral:lncRNA from 1 species